rnacentral:rRNA from 1 species
UACGUAGGUGGCGAGCGUUGUCCGGAUUUACUGGGCGUAAAGGGAGCGUAGGCGGACUUUUAAGUGAGAUGUGAAAUACCCGGGCUUAACUUGGGUGCUGCAUUUCAAACUGGAAGUCUAGAGUGCAGGAGAGGAGAAUGGAAUUCCUAGUGUAGCGGUGAAAUGCGUAGAGAUUAGGAAGAACACCAGUGGCGAAGGCGAUUCUCUGGACUGUAACUGACGCUGAGGCUCGAAAGCGUGGGGAGCAAACAGGAUUAGAUACCCCGGUAGU